AUUGAACGCUGGCGGCAGGCCUAACACAUGCAAGUCGAGCGAGCGGCGGACGGGUGAGUAAUGUCUGGGAAACUGCCUGAUGGAGGGGGAUAACUACUGGAAACGGUAGCUAAUACCGCAUACCAUCAGAUGUGCCCAGAGGGGGUUAGCUAGUCGGUGGGGUAACGGCUCACCUAGGCGACGCUCCCUAGCUGGUGGGAGAGGAUGACCAGCCACACUGGAACUGAGACACGGCCCAAACUCCUACGGGAGGCAGCAGUGGGGAAUAGUGCACAAUGGGCGCAAGCCUGAUCCAGCCACGCCGCGUGGGUGAAGAAGGCCUUCGGGUUGUAAAGCACUGUCAGUGGGGAGGCGUUACCCGCAGAAGAAGCACCGGCUAACUCCGUGCCAGCAGCCGCGGUAAUAC
rnacentral:rRNA from 1 species